GGCAGGUGGGACAUUAAGGUUCAGGAGUGAUAGUCAUAUAAAGUAAAUGUUAUAAAAUGCUUAGUUCAGACUUCAGAUCUCAGUUUUUAUAUUUAAAGUAGCCAUUAAACCCAAAAGCAUUUGAGUUUUGGGAGCGUGAAUGAGUCUGAUGGCCAAGUAUUGGCAUUUCAUACCUAUCAGAAUAUGUUGGCAUCUUGUCCAAGUUUGUUCUCGAUAUUUUUUAUAUGUUCUGAUGCAUUACCUGGUGUCCCUCGAUGUUUUUUAUAUGUUCUGAUCCUU
rnacentral:misc_RNA from 1 species